UAUAGGAAUCUGACUCUCUUAAAGACAUUCCUGUUGUGAUUAUGUCCUUUGAGAAUGUUCCAUCAAGAAUCAACAGUAUAACUGCUUCAAGGAGAUCUGUGGAGUACUAAAGCCUGGCCAACGUUUCGCUGCUUAUGAAUGGUGCUUGACCAACUCCUUCGAGCCAAAUAACCAGUAUCACCAAAAAAAUAAAGGCUGAAAUUGAGAUUGGCAGUGAGCUUUCAGACAUCAAGACAUUAGGAAAGUGUCCGGAAGCCUAAUGUAGGUGAAUGAAAUGGUGUCUUAAUCAGAGGACUAAAGAAUCUACGAUGAGAGUUAGCUCAUACCUAUAAUAUAGUCUUGAACACUUAUGGUGAACUUUGUAUUUUGAGGGUUAAUUUGUGUUGUUGGUACAUUUACUAGACUUUGUAUUUACCUUCAUAUCAUUUAGACCUCAACUUUAAUUAAGUAAAUUACUGAAUACUUUAUUUUGUAAUUUUAAUACAUUAUAAAUGGAAGUUAUUAGUAUAUUGUGCUGUGAA